GUGGAGCUGCUCUCCCUGAGCAUUUGUCCCGUCUGUGUUCAGAGUGAGGUCCUGGAGAAGCAGUGUGGUCUCAGUCAGAUAGAUGGUACCGUGGUUUCCCCAUCGCCGAAACCAACACAGACCGAGCAACACCAAGAAGCCUUACCCCCUAGUUCUGGGACCACAGCGAGUGCUGGCGAGGCUACCCAAAACAAAGCUUGGUUUCUAUUGCUCCCUGCUGUUCUGUGUCUGUGGAUGUAAAGCGGAAGGUAUGUGUCUCUCCUGUCCCCUCACACAAACUCUCCUGUCCCCUCACACAAACUCUCCUGUCCCCUCACACAAGCUCUCCUGUCCCCUCACACAAACUCUCCUGUCCCCUCACACAAACUCUCCUGUCCCCUCACACAAACUCUCCUGUCCCCUCACACAAACUCUCCUGUCUCCUCACACAAACUACUGUCAUUGAGCAGACGCUCGAUUUACAAUCAGUGCAUUAAUCUUAAAAUAGCUAGGUGAGACAACAUCAAAGAUGUGAACACAUAUUUUUAUGACCUAAUGAUUAAUUGUUAUCUAAGAGGAUGUUUGUUUCAGUAUAAAUUAGGCCAGACAUUCUACCAUUCGUCAGUGUUCAGUCUAUUUAGAGAAUCCUGGAUUAUGGUUCAAAAUGUUCAAAAAGCUCUACAACAAAAAAUGUGGAAUAUGAUUAUAGCUAAUGGCAUGGCAACAAAGAAACUUUCUACACACACACACAUAGUGACUCUAAACCGCAGGACGGCCUCAGCUUUCAUAGGAAAACCAUUACUUUCCAUUCCAGAUUAUAGUUAGUGUUC